UAACAAUUAGAUAAAGUUUAACUCUAGAAUCUGUCUGGCUCUAGAACUAGAAUGAGUUAAUAAACCAGUUGUAGUUAUUUGACCAUAACUUGAUCUCUAAAACUCCAAAUGACAUAAUUCAAAAGGAAAAACAAAGACAAAACAUAGUAGAACAACUUCCGUGAAGGGAGUGUGGCCAAAUAAUGGCCACAUCUUAAUCAAUUUGCUAGGCGAAUUUAAAAUACCAAAUCUGGACCUUGAGAAA
rnacentral:misc_RNA from 1 species